UCGUGAAAACUCACAGCUCAACUGUGGGCGUGCGGGCGAUACGGGCAGACUGGAGUACUGCAGGGGAGACUGGAAUUCCUGGUGUAGCGGUGGAAUGCGCAGAUAUCAGGAGGAACACCGGUGGCGAAGGCGAGUCUCUGGGCAGUAACUGACGCUGAGGAGCGAAAGCGUGGGGAGCGAACAGGAUUAGAUACCCUGGUAGUCCACGCCGUAAACGGUGGGUACUAGGUGUGGGUUUCCU
rnacentral:rRNA from 1 species